UACGGGGGGGGCAAGCGUUGUUCGGAAUUACUGGGCGUAAAGGGCUCGUAGGUGGCCAACUAAGUCAGACGUGAAAUCCCCAGGCUUAACCUGGGAACUGCGUCUGAUACUGGAUGGCUUGAAUCCGGGAGAGGGAUGCGGAAUUCCAGGUGUAGCGGUGAAAUGCGCAGAUAUCAGGAGGAACACCCGUGGCGAAGGCGGUUCUCUGGGACGGUACUGACGCUGAGACGCGAAAGCGUGGGGAGCGAACAGG
rnacentral:rRNA from 1 species